rnacentral:lncRNA from 1 species
ACAAAUUGCCAACCUUUCUACCUCUAAUUCCUACGAAUUUUCAUCAGUUAUCAUCCAAAUUCGUUCAUCAAUAUUUCACAAAUUCAUCACAUAUCAUUUCAAUCAGAGUCAAAUUCCGAGGUUCAUCACUACCCAUUACAUGCUAUCCCAUAAGACCCAUCAAACGAUGAUAAACCCCCCUUACCUGAGUAAAUCCGGCAAUUCCGUUAGCUUCAAGCUUUUCCUCUUCUCUUGCUCUGCCU